rnacentral:rRNA from 1 species
GCGGUAGAGGAGCGUCGUGUAAGCCGACGAAGGUGGAUCGAGAGGUCUGCUGGAGGUAUCACGAGUGCGAAUGCUGACAUGAGUAACGACAAGGGGAGUGAAAAACUCCCCCGCCGGAAGACCAAGGGUUUCUGUUCGACGCUAAUCGGAGCAGAGUGAGUCGGCCCCUAAGGCGAGGCCGAAAGGCGUAGUCGAUGGGAAACGGGUCAAUAUUCCCGUACCUCACUGUAUUGCGAUGGGGGGACGAAGAAGGCUAGGUGAGCCAGGCGUUGGUUGUCCUGGUGAAAGUCAGUAGGCUGGGGAAUCAGGCAAAUCCGGUUCCCCAAGGCCGAGAGACGAGACGAACAGACUACGGUCUGGAAGUCAUCGAUGCCACGCUUCCAGGAAAAGCCUCUAAGCUUCAGAUACAGUGGGACCGUACCCCAAACCGACACAGGUGGUCAGGUAGAGAAUACCCAGGCGCUUGAGAGAACUCGGGUGAAGGAACUAGGCAAAAUGGUGCCGUAACUUCGGGAGAAGGCACGCCGCACUAGCGUGAGAGGACAUGCUCCUUAAGCGUGACGCGGUCGAAGAUACCAGGUGGCUGCAACUGUUUAUUAAAAACACAGCACUCUGCAAACGCGCAAGCGGACGUAUAGGGUGUGACGCCUGCCCGGUGCCGGAAGGUUAAGUGAUGGUGUUAGCGCAAGCGAAGCUCCUGAUCGAAGCCCCGGUAAACGGCGGCCGUAACUAUAACGGUCCUAAGGUAGCGAAAUUCCUUGUCGGGUAAGUUCCGACCUGCACGAAUGGCGUAAUGAUGGCCACGCUGUCUCCACCCGAGACUCAGUGAAAUUGAAAUCGCAGUGAAGAUGCUGUGUACCCGCGGCUAGACGGAAAGACCCCGUGAACCUUUACUAUAGCUUCACACUGGACGCUGAUGUUGCUUGUGUAGGAUAGCUGGGAGGCUUGGAAACCCGGACGCCAGUUCGGGUGGAGCCAACCUUGAAAUACCAGCCUGGCAUCAUUGGCGUUCUAACUCAGGUCCGUGAUCCGGAUCGAGGACCGUGUGUGGUGGGUAGUUUGACUGGGGCGGUCUCCUCCCAAAGCGUAACGGAGGAGCACGAAGGUACCCUCAGCACGGUUGGAAAUCGUGCAUUGAGUGCAAGAGCAUAAGGGUGCUUAACUGCGAGACAGACACGUCGAGCAGGUACGAAAGUAGGUUCUAGUGAUCCGGUGGUUCUGUAUGGAAGGGCCAUCGCUCAACGGAUAAAAGGUACUCCGGGGAUAACAGGCUGAUACCGCCCAAGAGUUCACAUCGACGGCGGUGUUUGGCACCUCGAUGUCGGCUCAUCACAUCCUGGGGCUGAAGUCGGUCCCAAGGGUAUGGCUGUUCGCCAUUUAAAGUGGUACGCGAGCUGGGUUUAGAACGUCGUGAGACAGUUCGGUCCCUAUCUGCCGUGGGCGUUGGAUGUUUGAGAAGUGCUGCUCCUAGUACGAGAGGACCGGAGUGGACGCACCUCUGGUGUUCCGGUUGUCACGCCAGUGGCAUUGCCGGGUAGCUAUGUGCGGACGGGAUAACCGCUGAAAGCAUCUAAGCGGGAAGCCCCCUUCAAGAUGAGACAUCCCCGAGGCCU